rnacentral:rRNA from 1 species
UGAGGAAUCUUGCGCAAUGGGCGAAAGCCUGACGCAGCGACGCCGCGUGGAGGAUGACGGUUUUCGGAUUGUAAACUCCUGUUAAGCGGGAAGAAAGACCUAUCUCUAAUACAGAUAGGGCAUGACGGUACCGCUAGAGAAAGCACCGGCUAACUUCGUGCCAGCAGCCGCGGUAAUACGAGGGGUGCAAGCGUUAUUCGGAUUAAUUGGGCGUAGAGGGUGUGCAGACGGUUUGUUAAGUCGCUUGUUAAAUUCUUUGGCCUAACUGAAGAUCUGCAGGUGAUACUGACGAACUAGAGGGUGGAAGAGAGAAGUGGAAUUCUCGGAGUAGCGGUAAAAUGCGUAGAUCUCGAGAGGAACACCAAUGGCGAAGGCAGCUUCUUGGUCCAUUCCUGACGUUCAUACACGAAAGCGUGGGGAGCAAACAGG